ACGGAGUCCCGAUCGAGGACUCCCGGACGAGGGGUGCUGUACCCGGUGUGCGACAAGACGGCCCGUG
rnacentral:ncRNA from 1 species